AAGUCGUAACAAGGUUUCCGUAGGUGAACCUGCGGAAGGAUCAUUAAAACGUAUCCAACGUUAACCAACCGUGAACCUGUUCCUCCCUUGGCCUUGAGAAAUUGGAGCUACGAUUGAAAUUGAGUGGGAUCUUCGGAUCUUUCUUUUGUAGUCACUGACGCUUUCGGGCGUCGACAAUAGUAUCUUGGUUAAGGCUUUUCUUUCUGCUUAGCGCCCUCCAUUCAAAGGCGCGGCAGGGGGAGCUACAUUAAACCCUUAUCACCCUUUUUUGCUAGUUGACUUUUUUAAUGUUAGUUUUUACGAAAGUAGAAAUUACACGUUUCAUUAUUUGAACGUAAAAUACAACUCUUAGCAAUGGAUAUCUUGGUUCUC
rnacentral:misc_RNA from 1 species